UAUACAUAAAUACAAUUAUAAAUAAUAAAAACAGAGAAACUCAGCUGACCAUUUUUUUGGCAUCCUAGUUGUGUUUUUGACCUGUCAUUAUCUAGGACUGGUUCCUGAUUUAAUUCCCUUCUAAAAGUCAUUACCCUUCCCUCAUAGCCUCUGCUAACACAGUCAUGUUACAUAACACAAUGUCUAGAAGAGUGAUUGCAACAGAUUUACCUCCUAAGAUACUUCAAACAAGCAAGAGGACCUGAUGCCGUUUCCUCUUAUCUCAAGGGGAGCCAGAGGUUUUCUUCCAGACGAACCCAAACCAGGGAAGGGCCUGCCAUUCUUUAGCCACCAAGGAAGGCUUCUAUUUCAGGAAGCUGCUAAAAUAACAUUUUCUACACUCACUGAGAAAGCACCAGCCAGCUGAGGCCAAUAUGUACCCAGGACACAACCAACCUGUUCUCUACACUUGAGCCCUAAGGGAGAAGUGAGUUCCCACUGGACACACAUGCACCCACACUAACUUAAGCCAUAAGUUACUUUAAUCUUUAACAGAAUUUCUAAGGAAACUCCAUUCCAAGUAGACACACCAAUCUGGAUACCAUUAAAAACUCUUGAUGGUUCAAUAUAGUCUUUAUCUGUAGGUGCUUCAAACAGGGAAACACACACACAAACACGACACUCUUAUCUCCAAGGGAUCAUAUUAUGGACAUUAAUAUACCCGGUUUUCAUUUGAAAAUCUUUCUAGGACUGCCUCUGCAGAUCUACCUCAGCCAUGUCAAUGGCUGUGCUGUACCCUACUGAACAGACGGAGAGGCCAUCAUUUUCUUAUCCAGUCUUCUCUUAGGCGUUUUGGUUGAAGUGAACAUCCUUGCAUUGGUUACUUCGGCAAACAUCUGUGUACCCGUCCCUCGGGAAAAUUUCUAGCAGUGGGAUUACUAAGUCAAAAGGCGUAUGUGUAUAAAGUAGAUGUAUGAUGCCUAAUUGCCCUCUGGGAAUCAAGCCAACUGGUAUUCUCCAAAAAGCCUGCAUGAACUUACACUCGGUCCACAAUGUCUAACAGGCCCAUCCUGCCCUCCCCUUGCUCUGGGUAUCUUUAUCAGUGCAGCCUUAUGCAUACACAAGAGAUGAUAAUAUUAAUACUCUAUACAGAGAAUGUACUCCAAUAUUAUGAAAAGAGCCUGAGUGCUUGACAUUUUUAAUUUUUUUAAAAAAAUCACAAUUAUUGUGGAAACCAGGCACAGAGGUAUUUAGUGACUUGUUCAAUCUAGGGUGCAUGGGAGUCACGAGAUCAAAUAUCACCACUUCCUUACCGUAUUCUUCAGUCCUGGAGUUUUGCAGUUAAACAAACAAAAAAAAAACUAGGUACAAAAAUCCUUUUAUUUAGACCAAUCAGACCAAAUUAUUUUGGCAUAGUGACAAUGAAGAAGAGUAUAAAUUACUACUCUUAUUUGUUGCCCCAAAGUAUCUAAUGCAUUAUAUUGUUUCCAAAACCACUUGGUUAAGAAAAAACAAUAAACGCAAUUAUAACCACUUUAACCUACCACUUGCAACCCCAAAAAAAUAAAAGAACAAGGGAGGGGUUAGGGUGCGGGAAUCAAAACUUCCACAUGAAAGCAGAGUAAACGAAUGAGAAAGUAAAUUGCAUUUCCAAGGAAAACAUUUAUCAAAUACAAUUCAAAUGAAAUUCAAAUAGUCUUUAUCACUUUGAGAAAUUUCAAACCACUGUCCUUAAGGAAUCAGUCCAUAUAAAUAUAUUCAUGGUUUAGUGAAUGUUGCGUAGCAUCCUAAAUCACCUCCAAUAUUUACAAGGCAACAUUCUGAAUAGAAUAGCUUAGGGAAAACGAGUGCCCCUCCCUCUUCCCUGGAAGUGGCUUGCAUGUCCCUCUGUAUUUUCAAGUGCCACUGGCUCACAUCUGAAUCACAGUGACUCAAGUUCCCCGAGCCCUGCAGCCUCAUGAAACACUGCCAUCAGGGUCUUGGUGGCUUUACCAAGUUAUGCACAAUAUGACCAUUAUUUUUUAAGCUGCAAAUUUGGGAUAUAACUUACAAUAAGCACAAGGGAACUUCUAAAACCAAUGGGACAGAAUAUGCAGAAAUAAUGGAGCUAAAACAGCAGAGGGUCCUUUCAGUCCUAUCCCCUAAGUAACUUACCCUUGGAAGGGCACUCAUGAGUAGAUAGGGCUACAGCAAACACACAGGCCCCAUGGAUUUCAAGAGGGACUGAUGGAAAACUCAUUACUGGAAAUAUUCCUCCAAACCUAUCCCAUUGCCAAAGCGCACAAAAUCCCGGGACACGGGAAAACACCAACACUCCAAGGAGUCAAGUUGCAUUCUUACUUUUCAUUAGGUAAAAUUUCAUGAACUGCACCAACCCUAAGCCACAGCCUGUGCUGGGCACUUGCCCAGCAGCCCCUUACUCAGAAACAUGCCCACUUUGCUGAGCACCACUCAGAACACGACUGUGGCUCUGGGCGAUGCCAAAUGGCAGAGAGGGCAGACCUUGGCUUCUGCUCCAAAGACUGCUGAAAAGCACAUGGCUGCUACAGACACCUGCUGUCCAACCUGGGGGGAUGCCUCUCAAGAGGCUGUGAGCUGGGGACCACUGGGUGCCUGUACACUAGAAAAUGGGAUUCCUCUCAACGAAAGCCAGUCUGCUGGGUGAGAUGGGGAGAUAUCUCUAAUCUGCCACAUAAAUAGUGCUAAAGCUGCCAUGGAUGAGGUUAGUGCGUAAGGGUAUAAAGGAAUCUAAAUGCCAAAACUUAUCAAUCCAGUAACACUCUACACAGGCAUCUGCCUGCUUCCUUUCAUCCCAAGCCCCCGAAAAGCACACCAGGACAACCAGAGGAAUUUCGAGUUAACAGUCUUGUCCUGUUAAUUAAUUAAUUACCUGACACUAAGCAAGCCUAUGACAAAACCUUAGAGAAACACACUAAUGAGGGUCUCUGAAAUAUAGAUGCUCUGAAAGCACCACCACCACCUCCUGACUGAGACAACUAUUCUGUGUGUUUAUUUGCUAAAUGGAAACUGUCGAAACUCCUUUCCAUCAAGUCAACCCUUCUAUUUCCCCAUAUUUGCAUAAAAAUUGAACAUAUUCACCAGACAAAAGUUAUCUGUUAGAAAAUCUGAUUUCUCUUUACUGUUCUUCUGUUUUAUGUCAUAUACCCUAAAGAUAUUGCCUGGAUCCCACUACAUGCCACUGUAAAAUCCCUUUUGUUCUCUGAUCUGAAGAAUGCUGCAUGAGGGACAUCUGAUUCUAUUACAUUUUAUUCUGCUGUAAGAGGACUAGAAAUCCCUUGAGACCAAGUCUUAUUUGGGGAAUCAGCUCAUUACCUGAGACAGCCAAGAAGUCAUCAAUGGAAGUAAUGUCAUCGACAGCAUCUGUGAGAACUCGGACUUGUUUU